AAGGUAAUCCCUCCGUCCCAAAAUUCAUGUUUUAAAUUUGUCUAAAUACAGAUAUAUCUAGUUACGUUUUAGUACCGCUCAAAAAAAAGUUAUGUUUUAGUGUUAGAUAUAUUCGUAUCUAGACAAAUUUAAAACAAGAAUUUUGAGACGGAGGAAGUAUAAA
rfam:Triticum aestivum genome assembly, contig: Triticum_aestivum_CS42_TGACv1_scaffold_000174_1AL